AGUGAACGCUGGCGGUAGGCCUAACACAUGCAAGUCGAACGGCAGCACAGUAAGAGCUUGCUCUUACGGGUGGCGAGUGGCGUACGGGUGAGGAAUACAUCGGAAUCUACUUUUUCGUGGGGGAUAACGUAGGGAAACUUACGCUAAUACCGCAUACGACCUACGUGUGAAAGCAGGGGAUCUUCGGACCUUGCGCGAUUGAAUGAGCCGAUGUCGGCUUAGCUAGUUGGCGGGGUAAAGGCCCACCAAUGCGACGAUCCGUAGCUGGUCUGAGAGGAUGAUCACCCACACUGGACCUGAGACACGUACCCGACUCCUAGGGGAGGAAGCAGUGGGGAAUAUUGGACAAUGGGAGCAAGCCUGAUCCAGCCAUCCCGCGUGGGUGAAGAAGGCCUUCGGGUUGUAAAGCCCUUUUGUUGGGAAAGAAAAGCAGCAGGUUAAUACCCCGCUGUUCUGACGGUACCCAAAGAAUAAGCACCGGCUAACUUCGUG
rnacentral:rRNA from 1 species